UACUGAACGUACGCCUCCUCGCCUCUUCAGUCCACAAAUAGGAGGGGAGGAGGAUGGGGACAGAAAAUGUGGAAGAAGAGAAAAAUGGGUAUUAAGAGUCAGAACAAGGUGCUUUCCAUGUGAAUGCAAGGCACUAAAAUGAAAUAAAAAAAACAGAAAUGGAUGUUCAAUUUAAAGGACGAAUAACAUUGUAUGGGGAACGGAAGGGAGGGAAAGAACAAAAGGUGACUGGGUGAGGGAAUGUGUGAGUGAGUGCUCAUGCACACAUGCACAUUCAUAGACAUCUAUCUGUGCACUCAGAUGAUAAACAAAAUCUUAGAAAUGAGAGCCUAUCAAGCAGGAAUCAAUCACUGGGGGUUGUUGUCCAGGAGGAUGGCGCCAUAUGGAGAUAAAAGACAGGCGGACGUCUGGGGAGGUCUGGGAGGAGAGGAGGAGAGGAGGGGAGAGGAUGGAGCGGGAGUCUGGAGAGGGCUGGGAGGGGAGGUGUGUAGAGAGUGCUGAUGGGGGAAGGCAUGAAUGUGCGGUAUAAAGUCCGGUCCAGUUAUUUUACCAGUCAUUUUUUUGUGUAUCAGAUCAGAACAGUAUCAGAACUGGUUUGAACCUAGAUGUGGACUGCUUGAACUGGGUUGGAUUCAAAUCUGCUGAGCUACAUUCAAUACCAGGAGCUGAAAAUGUAAUUCAAGGGGGUGAACAACUUGGCUAUGUUACAGGUCCAACUGACUUACAGAGUUCUCCCCAGACGGUGGAACAGCGGGGAGAACCCUGGACAUAUCUGGGUCUAUGUACAUCAGGCACUAUGGCACACUGGAUGGAUGGAUAUCGGUUGAGAAGGCAUUUGGAUUCCUGGAUAGGGGCCCCAAGUUGUGUCUGGAUGAAGGUCCCUGCCAGCCACCACCCUGCUGUCACAGCCAUCUUUACUCAACUCCAAGUCAUCUGGAAGGAGAGAAGGAGAAUAAAACAUUACUACAG